UUUAAUUGAUAAUGUAUUUCAUAUCUAAACCACUAGUGUAUAAGACUUGAUUUGUUAAACUACUCGAGGAGUAUAUAAUUAAUCAACAUAUUUUAUACUCCGAUAAAGUAUCAUUUACAUGUCAUCAUAAUUAGAAGGUGAUCACUACACUUAACAUCCAUUCAAUUAGAUCGAACGUAUAUAAUAAUACUAGCUAUCUCGCGCG
rnacentral:lncRNA from 1 species